rnacentral:tRNA from 1 species
GAGGACAUAGCUCAUUGGUAGAGCGCAUGCUUAGCAUGCAUGAGGUCCUGGGUUCAAUCCCCAAUGCCUCCA